CGAAGGGUGCAAGCGUUACUCGGGAUUACUGGGCGUAAAGCGUGCGUAGGUGGUUCGUUAAGUCAGAUGUGAAAGCCCCGGGCUCAACCUGGGAAUUGCAUUUGAUACUGGCGGGCUAGAGUGCGGUAGAGGAGAGUGGAAUUCCCGGUGUAGCAGUGAAAUGCGUAGAGAUCGGGAGGAACAUCAGUUGCGAAGGCGGCUCUCUGGACCAGCACUGACACUGAGGCACGAAAGCGUGGGGAGCAAACAGGAUUAGAUACCCUGGUAGUCCACGCCCUAAACGAUGCGAACUGGACGUUGGGAGCAAUCAGGCUCUCAGUGUCGAAGCUAACGCGUUAAGUUCGCCGCCUGGGGAGUACGGUCGCAAGACUG
rnacentral:rRNA from 1 species